GAACUCAGUGAAUCAUCAAAUCUUUGAACGCAAAUUGCACUAAUAGUAAUAUUAGUACAUUUAUUUGAGUGUCGUUUAAUAAUCUAAUCAUUUUAUAUUGAAUGUCUAUUUAUAGUCAUUUUAACAAUAUAUAAUCCAAUUAUUGUAAA
rnacentral:rRNA from 1 species